rnacentral:rRNA from 1 species
GAUAAACGCUGGCGGCGUGCCUAACACAUGCAAGUCGAACGAAGUGGCGAACGGGUGAGUAACACGUGAGUAACCUGCCUUACACAAGGGGAUAGCCUUUGGAAACGCAGAAUAAUACCCUAUAGUGUAAGAUGGACUUACGUGUGCUUAGAUAGUUGGUGAGAUAAAAGCCCACCAAGGCGACGAUGAGUAGCCGGCUUGGGGGAGUGUACGGGCACAUUGGGACUGGGACACGGCCCGAACUCUACGGAAGGCAGCAGUGGGGAAGUUUGCACAAUGGGGGAAACACUGAUGCAGCGACGCCGCGUGAUUUAGAAGGCCUUCGGGUUGUAAAAGUCUUUUUUAUGGGAUGCAGUACCAUAAGAAUAAGGUCCGGCUAAAUACGUGCCAGCAGCCGCGGUAAUUC